GACGAACGCUGGCGGCGUGCUUAACACAUGCAAGUCGAACGGAAAGGCACUGCGUUUUUGGGGUGCUCGGGUGGCAAACGGGUGCGUAACACGUGAGUAUCCUGACCUACACUUUCGUAUAAGUUCAGGUAAGUGGGGCUACUACCGUAUAGGAGCUCCUCCACCAUGGAGGGCAUUGGAACGUUGCGGCUGGUGGGGAUGGACGCGCGGCUUACGGGCUUGUUAGUCGGCUAGUGGCUUACCAAGCCUUGGACCGAUAGGCAGCCCGAGAGGGUGGACGGCCACCAGGGUCCUGAGAUACGGCCCAGACUCCUACGUGAGGCAGCAGUGGGGAGUAUUACACAGUGGGACCAAGCCUGAUGAAGAAACGCCGCGGGCGGGAUGACGUCUUUCGGGGUGUAAAACGCUGUCGCUUGUGACGAAGCGGGAGUGACGGUAAUGAGUAAAGAAGCACCGGCUAACUACGUG
rnacentral:rRNA from 1 species